rnacentral:rRNA from 1 species
CCCUUUGGCCUGGAAUAACACGAGGAAACUUGUGCUAAUACCGGAUAAGUCUUUACGGAGAAAGCUUUAUGCACCAUUGGAUGAGCCCGCACUUGAUUAGUUUGUUGGUGGGGUAAUGGCCUACCAAGACUGUGAUCAAUAGCUGAUUUGAGAGGAUGAUCAGCCACACUGGGACUGAGAUACGGCCCAGACUCCUACGGGAGGCAGCAGUGGGGAAUCUUGCACAAUGGGCGAAAGCCUGAUGCAGCGAUGCCGCGUGAGUGAAGAAGGCCUUUGGGUUGUAAAGCUCUUUUGUCGGGAAAGAUAAUGACUGUACCCGAAGAAUAAGGUCCGGCUAACUUCGUGCCAGCAGCCGCGGUAAUACGAAGGGACCUAGCGUAGUUCGGAAUUACUGGGCGUAAAGAGUAUGUAGGCGGCUAGAUAAGUUAAUUGUGAAAGCCCAAAGCUUAACUUUGGAAUUGCAAUUAAAACUAUUUAGCUAGAGUAUGAUAGAGGAAAGCGGAAUACAUAGUGUAGAGGUGAAAUUCGUAGAUAUUAUGUAGAACACCAGUUGCGAAGGCGGCUUUCUGGAUCAUUACUGACGCUGAGAUACGAAAGUAUGGGUAGCGAAGAGGAUUAGAUACCCUCGUAGUCCAUACUGUAAACGAUGAUUAUUAGAUGUGGGGAAUUAUUUCUCUGUAUCACAGCUAACGCGUUAAAUAAUCCGCCUGGGGAGUACGACCGCAAGGUUAAAACUCAAAUGAAUUGACGGGGACCCGCACAAGCGGUGGAGCAUGUGGUUUAAUUCGAAGAUACGCGCAGAACCUUACCAACACUUGACAUGUUCGUCGCGACUUUAAGAGAUUAAAGUUUUCGGUUCGGCCGGACGAAACACAGGUGCUGCAUGGCUGUCGUCAGCUCGUGUCGUGAGAUGUUGGGUUAAGUCCCGCAACGAGCGCAACCCUCACUUUUAGUUGCCAUCAUUAAGUUGGGCACUCUGAAAGAACUGCCAGUGAUAAGCUGGAGGAAGGUGGGGAUGACGUCAAGUCCUCAUGGCCCUUACGUGUUGGGCUACACACGUGCUACAAUGGUAUCUACAACAGGAAGCAAAACGGCGACGUUAAGCAAAUCCUUAAAAGAUACCUCAGUUCGGAUUGCACUCUGCAACUCGAGUGCAUGAAGCUGGAAUUACUAGUAAUCGUGGAUCAGCGUGCCACGGUGAAUGCGUUCCCGGGUCUUGUACACACCGCCCGUCACACCAUGGAAGUUGGUUACACCUUAAGGCAAAAUUCGUCAACCUUCGGGAGACAUUUGACUACGGUA